CAAAAUAUAGUUUAUAAAAAUAUUAAUUUUGGAGAUUAAAGAUAUAGUAAUUAUUAUUUUGA
rnacentral:tRNA from 1 species